UGCUCGCGGCGCGGCCGGUAGCGGCGCUGCAUGGGAGACAUAGCCGCGGUCGGCAGUAUCUGUGCCGCGCACGCGAGGAGGAGAAGAGAAGCAGCAGAGACCACGCGGCGUGGUCGUGCAGCAGCAGUCUAGCGUCACCGGUGACAGCAAUGCCAAGUGUCUCUGAAGCUAAGCUUCUAGAGUAUCCACAAAAGACUGAAGCAUUGCAUGUACAUUUGCAGGGAGGGUCGUGAACAGGAGCAACAUAAUUUAAACCUUUUCAGAAGCUCUGAUAGUUCUUGAACUGGUUACACCAGCAGCAUGUUCGGCUGCCCUUUUCUUUUUUGGCUGCGCUACUGCAGCUGCAGCACACCCCACUCUGCCUAGCUCGCUCCUCCCGCGUGGCAGCCAGGUCAGCUGCUGCUGCUCAGCAGCGCAACCAAAAGAAGAAUAGACGAACAAGGUGCAGAGUGGUAGAGGCACUAUUGGGGAUGAGGUAGUAUCUUUCUCACAAUCUAUAUAUAUGCUCAUUUAGCCGGAGAUGCAGUCUUGUGCAUUUGCGAGUCCAUUCAUCUAUAUUUGGCUUCCUUAUGUUGGUCUGCAGACCACACCACGAGGGAGUAGAAUGCUUCCUCUACACCUAUGGAGUUACCAGCAGCAAGACAGGAUAGUAAUGAUGCUCUUACGCCUAAGCAAUCUUCCUGUGUUUGAGCAGCAGUCUUCUUGGGUUUGAGCAGUAGUGUCUCAGGGUGAGUUUGUCUCUUCUCUAUUCCUUUUCGACUUAUAAAAGGUUUGGAGGUGAAAUUUCUGCUAUAGAUUAGCAGCAUCCAUGCAUAUAUUGUGAAUAAACCAGCCUGAAAUUGAUAGUCUUAUUGGGUAACCAAGUUGGUCAUUAUACGUUGUUUAAAAAUAUCAAACUUAUGAAAAAUAUCAAAUCUCAUGAAAUUAGUUUGAUUGGAUAGAUAAAUAUGAGAUUCUAUAGCACUGAAUCAGAGGUGCCUUCCUUAUGCAUUGACAUUUGAAACCUGCCGUCUGAAAACCAUACAGGUAGCAGAUCAUUUGGAAUUUGCUGUUACAUCUAUAUGACACUUGCUAGAUAUUAAAUUAUUAUCUGUUUGCAGUCCAAGCAAGGAUGCACGAAAAGUGAAGCUCGUGUUGAUUUUGUAUCUACCAGUUGCGGCCAACUUUUGUGUGCACUUUAUCUCCAGCAAGAAGAGUCCGAUGCAUGGGACCUGGAGUUUGCAUCGACCUCAACCUGCAAACUGUGUAGCAUGGUGAUUAGCUUUUGGUUUCAGUUAUUUAUUGGUAGCUAUGCAUACUUGCUGUUACAUGUAGAUUUAUGGUGUUUGGAUAUGCUGUAAUAUUGAUGCUCCAAAUGCUGAAUAAAUACAUGAUGUUAGGAUAGAUUAGUACUUGGAUAUAACCAUGGUGAUCGAAUGGAUUGUGAUGUUGAUGAUUAAAAUGUCGGACAAACACCUCAUCGAUAUGAUAGCUUGGUGCUCGGAUAUGUUUAGAUGCUGGACAAACACCUGAAAGGCUGAUAGCUAGGAGCUUGGUGGAUGUGCUGUAAUAUUUAUGAUUCGAAUGCCGGAUAGAGACCGACUGUAAUAUUUAUGAUUCAAAUGCUGGAUAGACACCUAUGUUAAAUAUUGAUCUGCUUGCUACUA